CCCUUAGACGUUCUGGGCCGCACGCGUGCUACACUGAUGCAUUCAACGAGUCUAAAACCUGGUCUGAUAGGGCUGGGUAAUCUUUUGAAAGUGCAUCGUGAUUGGGAUAGAUGAUUGCAAUUCUUCAUCUUCAACGAGGAAUGCCUAGUAAACGCAAGUCAUCAGCUUGCAUUGAUUACGUCCCUGCCCUUUGUACACACCGCCCGUCGCUCCUACCGAUUGAAUGAUCCGAUGAAUACCAUGGAUUGAGAGUACGAAUAGGUUCGCUUAUUUCUGCUGCUCGAGAAGUGGAGUAAAUCUUAUCAUUUAGAGGAAGGAGAAGUCGUAACA
rnacentral:rRNA from 1 species